GGCAACUAUUGAUAAGUUAUUUCUCUGCUAGCGAAAUGAGCCAGUUCAAGCCAGAUUAAAUUAUAUUAAGCGAAGGCUUAUUGGGAAGCUGCUCUCAGGCUGUAACCUGGAAGAAAAGAACCAAGCAAGCCCAAGGCUGUUGCUAGUCACGCGUUCCAUUUUGUUCACUUGGAAUCAGGGAACACUAAAAUCCUUUUUGGAGCAAUGGACCUCACCCUUCAACUUCCGCAUCCUCCCAAGCCAUAAUGCUAUCCAGAAUUCCAGGCAGCUCCCCAAAGCCCAUAGGGUUCUCAAUACAGGGCCAGGUGUGAGAUUCCCGGAGGGACCCUCACGCUCAA